ACUGAUUUUCAUCCCAACCACUUCAUACUCAGCUGCGAAACGCUCAAGUGAGAGUUGAAGGGCCCUGCUUGAAAGAGCCAACAGUCCCACAUCAUCUGCAAUAAGCAGAGAUGUAAUACUGAGGCCACCAAAAUGGACCCCCAUCAACACUUACACUGCGCCUAGAAAUUGCCAAUGUCCGUAAUGUUUAUGAACAGAAUCGAUGACAAAGGGCAGCCUUGGCGGAGUCCAACCCUCACUGGAAACGAUUCUGACUUACUGCCGGUAAUGUGAACCAAAUUCUGACAUCUGUGGUGGAGGGACCAAAGUGCCCGCAUCAGGGGACUCGGUACCUCAUACUCCUGAAGCAAUCAUAUAAUGUAAUAUCGUACUCAAAUGUGUAAUGCAUAGAUUUUUAUUCUGGGUGAGGGAAUUUUCGUUUGACAGAAGUCAAUAGAUGGCAAUACUUACUGUAAUUAUGUUUCAUUGAACAAUUAUAAUAUUUAAGUCUGGUUUAAAAAAUAUGAACAGGUAUAUACAUUUGUGUUAUUACAGUUGCUGAAACAUAUAGAUGUUGCUUGAAAUUUAUCAUGCUCCCCUCAAAACAGACCGCAGAGUAAAAUAAAAGUUAAAGGCUGAGCAAUUUUAGUUUAUCGUUGGCCAUGAAGGGGGGAGGGGCUGUUCCCAGCUCCAAACCCUCGCAGUUGCACUGUUUGAACCUAGUUUAUUCAGCUCCCCUCCCCCACACUAGUUUGAGCACGUGAUCAACUAGGAGCGCGGUUCAUACAGCAGCAACAAAGCUUUGCAAGAAGAGUUGAGUGUUGCAGUCGUGUCCCCAGAAAAUCUAAUUCGUUUUUUUCUGCUUUGGACAUCGAAACUGUAUAAUACGAAUUGCAUCCAAUAAGUAAAUAAUAAUGAUGUUUCAUCACAAUUCCAUAUUAGCAUUUGGGAAUAAUGUUGCUUUCAGAACAAUUACAAUAUUUUAAGUCGUUUUUAAAAUAUGUGUGUGUGUGUAUAUACUGUAUAUAUAUACAGUAUGUAUAUACACACACAUGUAUAUAUGCUGUGCUCAUUUUAGGAGUACAUGACAUUGGUGUAAACAAGAGUUCAUAAAAUAUGUUGAUAUUGCUUGACAUUUACUAUGCCCCACUUCAAAACGGACCUCAGAGGAAAAGUGAAGGAGUUUUGGUUAUGAAGGGGCGGGGCUGUUUUCACACCCCAAAACGUCACAGUUACGUUGCAGGAAACGAGUUUCUACAGCUACCCUCCCCCACAUCACACUCGCUGACCAUCAAUUAGGAAACGCGCGCUUUGCUACCUGCACAAAAGGAAGGCGUUGAGAAGAGUGAGCGUACGAGUCAGCAUCAUCGAGAAAACCCCAGAAAGUGACAAAUACUUCAGAAUUAAAGCAGAUGGACAAUCCCACUGAAGAUGGUGAUUAUUCUGACUCAAGUCUUUUUGGAUCAGAUGAGGAAUACAAACCAACUAAGACAUCCUCUGAGUCGAGUGAUGACGAGGAGAUAUUCCAUCCAAAGGUAGAAAAAUUGUUCUUAUGAUACAUCCAGUGAAGACUCUACAAGUCAUCAGACAUAUGAAGCAGAGGAGCACAGUCAUGUCUGCAAUUCGUAAAGAAGCCCCAAAAAGGGAAAAGCAUCUCUCCAAAAGAGGGAAGACUGAAUUGGAUGGUAAGCUUUGGAUGAGGAACUAUAUCUCUUUUUUCAUAAUUUAACCAGUUAAAAUGCAUGCAACGUAUUUGACAAUGAGUGUCAAAUCAGGGAU